AAACUGUUUCCCCGAGCAUGCAGGAUAGAGGGCUUGUCACAUACCAUAAUCAUCAAUACAUUCAAAAUCAUGCAUCUGGGCUGGCCACAGCAAGUGUUGGCAGGGGCACAUCACUUCUGCUUUGAUUUUAAUUUUACCCCCACUUAGGAAAAAAACCCAAAAACUACAAAUAACUUUAGGACUGUUGACAUGACUUUAGAGUUGAUGAGAAAUACCCAGGACACUUCUGACAAAUAAAUCUCCCAUGAGACAGUAGUGUAGCACUUCUCUGCAUGCAGGUACUCUUAUCUGAGCACUGAAGUCAACCAGAAAUGAAGACCCCUAUUGUCUGAGCCCUGUGCAAUUCGUGACCUGGGGGAUAAGGCAAGAGGUACUGUCAUUAUUCAGCUUCCUCACCAUUUUCCUCACCAAUUCAGUGCAGAAAGUUUCUUCUCCCAGUUGUAAGGUUAAGCAGGACCUCCCAAUAACUCUCUGGAUGGACCAAACGUGAUGAAAGGCUCGUGGGUCCCACCAGCACAAUGUGCAUCACUAUUCUACCACUUCAGAAACAGCCAGCCCUCAUCAUUUCCAGAGAGGAAACACAGCUGCAUUUCAGAUCCACAUAGGGCAAAAACAAGGGGAAUGAUGAGAGGCACCUACAAUAAGAAGACAGAAAAGCAAGUUGUGGGACACUGUUAUGACUCCACCACGCACUAAGUCCUCCUCCCUUUUCCCCUGACCCAGAGUAGGAUCCCUUGGGCUUUAGGAAAACCCCAGCACCAGGAAAGGUUAGGAACAAGGCCUACUCAUGGCCAAGUCAGGAAAAGGUUUUUGCAGGAAUAAGCUGAGGCACAACAUCAGUGCCCUCAUGGACAGUUUGUAGCUGUGACAUGGUGUAGGCGUGGAAGGGAGAAGCUCUCCAGCCACACCUCAAUGCUCCCCACAGUGAAAGGAAUGCCAAAUCAUCCUCCAAGGAAGGACAGAGCACAGCGCUGCCUCCACACCUUCAUCUCCAGGUACCUGGAGCUAUGUAGUGCUAAGAUAGGGGCCCUGGGGUACUCCAUGUUGUUUGGAGUAUUGAGGUCAUGGAAAGUUAUCUCUUCUUCCCUAUUAGUUGCCUUUGCUGCUGCUCCUUCUCUCCAUCUGCACAUUUCCAUCACUUCAUCUCCUUCUCUUUCCCUCUUGCAAUUUGCCUCUUUCCCUGUAAUUUAUCCUCUGCAGUGUAAGCCUUUGGCUGGCCUGUCAGUGUCGUGGUUCCUGGAGAGGGCAUCCAGCCACACUCCAGCACAGAAGCCCAGCGAGUUGUUAGAUCCACACUCACCUACAGCUGUGCACCUGCAGCACUGCCAGCGCUGUCUCCCUGUCCCACUGCUGAAAUGAAAACAGAACCUGCUCCACGUGAAAGCCAGAGGCUGCUUACAGCAAUCCUGCAGGAUUGAUAACAAAGACCACCUCCAGCACCCGCUGAGGGGCAAUUUACCUGCACAGGUUCUCCUACUCUCACAAGUAAGCAACAGGCACAUCAAGCAGAGAGCAAUCUGUCACUGACAGGCAACAUUGGACUAAGGAGCUUGGGGGGAAAAACACAGGAGACAGAAUUAAAACAACUGUAAGUAAAUAAACCUUCAACAUCAAAAUGACAUGCAUCAAACAGGACCAAUGGACCAAUCUGAUUUUAUUUAAUUGGGACUAGCCUUUCCCAAAGACAUGGGCUGAUAGGUAGAUAAUUCUGUUUGCUUACUCAAAGUCCAGUUGUAUUCCACUGGUAUUAACUAUUUAUUUAAUUUCUCUCUGCAUAAAUGAUGGGACAUACUAGCACAAAACAGUGACACUUAAAAGCUAUAUCCGUUAACCAAUGUUUUGCAUGGAGAGUAAAAAUACUACCAUGGAUCUUGCAUUAUUAUAUAACAUAGGAAAUAGAGAGGAAAUGGCCUUUUCAAUUCUCCAAAGCAUGCAAUUUGACAAUUCUCAGCAGUCUUAUCUUGUGCAGAGAUUAGAACUAGGAAAAUAAAUUAAAGCAGUGUAAUCAAUGAAUGCAUUCCUUUUUCCUGUCUGAGAAGAGGGGAGGGGGGCUGGGGUAACAUCAGGCAGUCAGGUUAAUUAAUGCGUUCACAGGCCAGAAUUACUAAAUGAGUAUUUGUGCACACACACAUGCACUGUGCUAUUGAUUACUCAUAACCUUAUUUGCAAAGAAAACUCCUCUGAAUAGUUUGUAGUUCUGAUUAGACAUUGGGACUGUGAGGCUGUCUGUAGGGAGUGCAAUUAAAAAUACCUGUACCAGCCUAACUUACCAAGUUUAUUGAUUUAACUGCACCAGCAUAAAAAUCUCUUGGCUGCAGGAUAUUGCAUUGCAUUACAGGUUAGAGCUUUUAUCAUUACACCAGGUUAGCUGAACACAGGCAACAUUGUUCUACCUGUGAUCUGCCUGAAUGACCCAGCUCCAAGGGUGACUUGAGAGCCCAGCAAAAAACAACAGAAGAUUGGUCUCAGCUACAAGAUCAAAUAUUCCAGUCAAAAAUCAUUUUUAAGUGCAAAUAUUAAGCCAAAAAUAAGGUCAUAGAAAGCAUAUCUAGAUCAGAUACUCAAGGCUUAACAUUUUCUGCACUGCUCCGGGCUCCCUCAGGGUCAGAAUCUGAGGGAUUUUCUCAUCAGGACA
ensembl:lncRNA